GUACACUCCUACGGGAGGCAGCAGUGGGGAAUUUUGGACAAUGGGCGAAAGCCUGAUCCAGCAAUGCCGCGUGUGUGAAGAAGGCCUUCGGGUUGUAAAGCACUUUUGUCCGGAAAGAAAUCCUUGGCUCUAAUACAGUCGGGGGAUGACGGUACCGGAAGAAUAAGCACCGGCUAACUACGUGCCAGCAGCCGCGGUAAUACGUAGGGUGCGAGCGUUAAUCGGAAUUACUGGGCGUAAAGCGUGCGCAGGCGGUUUGCUAAGACCGAUGUGAAAUCCCCGGGCGCAACCUGUGAACUGCAUUGGUGACUGGCAGGCUAGAGUAUGGCAGAGGGGGGUAGAAUUCCACGUGUAGCAGUGAAAUGCGUAGAGAUGUGGAGGAAUACCGAUGGCGAAGGCAGCCCCCUGGGCCAAUACUGACGCUCAUGCACGAAAGCGUGGGGAGCAAACAGGAUUAGAUACCCGAGUAGUCCCA
rnacentral:rRNA from 1 species